GGUUGAUCCYGCCGGACCCCACUGCUAUCGAGAUGGGACUAAGCCAUGCUAGCCGCGCGCGUCCAACCAUGAGGACGAGCGGCAUACCGCUCAGUAACACGUAGCUAACCUACCCUCGGGUCGAGGAUACCCCCGGGAAACUGGGGCUAAUCCACGAUAGGUGUGGAGGCCUGGAAUGGUUCCACGCUCAAAUGGACGGCAGUCACGUUUGUCAUCUGCCCGAGGAUGGGGCUGCGGCCGAUCAGGCAGUUGGCGAGGUAACAGCUCACCAAACCUUUGACCGGUACGGGCCAUGAAAGUGGUAGCCCGGAGAUGGGCACUGAGACAGGGGCCCAGGCCCUACGGGGCGCAGCAGGCGCGAAAACUCCACAAUGUACGGAAGUACGAUGGGGUUAUCUCGAGUGCAGUCCGAUAAGGGCUGCUUUUCCAUAGAGUAAUAUCCUGUGGGAAUAAGAGGGGGGCAAGACUGGUGUCAGCCGCCGCGGUAACACCAGCCCCUCGAGUGGUGGGGACUUUUAUUUGGCCUAAAGCGUCCGUAGCUGGCUGUAUCCGUUUCCCGGCAAAUCCGGCGUCCUAAGCGUCGGGCUUCGGGUAAUACCAUACAGCUAGAGGGUGGGAUAGGUGAGCGGUAUUUCUGGGGUAGGGGCGAAAUCCUUUGAUCCCAGGAGGACCACCAGUGGCGAAGGCUGCUCACUAGAACACGCCUGACGGUCAGGGACGAAAGCUGGGGCAGCGAACCGGAUUAGAUACCCGGGUAGUCCCAGCUGUAAACGAUGCUAGCUAGGUGUUGGGUCGGCCACGCGCCGCCCCAGUGCCGCAGGGAAGCCGUUAAGCUAGCCGCCUGGGGAGUACGGCCGCAAGGCUGAAACUUAAAGGAAUUGGCGGGGGAGCACCACCAGGCGUGAAGCCUGCGGUUUAAUUGGAUUCAACGCCGGG
rnacentral:rRNA from 1 species